AUAUGGUCAAGUGAAGAAGCGCAUACGGUGGAUGCCUUGGCAGUCAGAGGCGAUGAAAGACGUGGUAGCCUGCGAAAAGCUUCGGGGAGUCGGCAAACAGACUUUGAUCCGGAGAUGUCUGAAUGGGGGAACCCAGCCAUCAUAAGAUGGUUAUCUUGUACUGAAUACAUAGGUGCAAGAGGCGAACCAGGGGAACUGAAACAUCUAAGUACCCUGAGGAAAAGAAAUCAACCGAGAUUCCCUUAGUAGUGGCGAGCGAACGGGGACUAGCCCUUAAGUGGCUUUGAGAUUAGCGGAACGCUCUGGAAAGUGCGGCCAUAGUGGGUGAUAGCCCUGUACGCGAAAAUCUCUUAGUCAUGAAAUCGAGUAGGACGGAGCACGAGAAACUUUGUCUGAAUAUGGGGGGACCAUCCUCCAAGGCUAAAUACUACUGACUGACCGAUAGUGAACUAGUACCGUGAGGGAAAGGCGAAAAGAACCCCGGAGAGGGGAGUGAAAUAGAUCCUGAAACCGUAUGCGUACAAGCAGUGGGAGCAGACUUUGUUCUGUGACUGCGUACCUUUUGUAUAAUGGGUCAGCGACUUAUUUUCAGUGGCGAGCUUAACCGAAUAGGGGAGGCGUAGCGAAAGCGAGUCUUAAUAGGGCGUCUAGUCGCUGGGAAUAGACCCGAAACCGGGCGAUCUAUCCAUGGGCAGGUUGAAGGUUGGGUAACACUAACUGGAGGACCGAACCGACUACCGUUGAAAAGUUAGCGGAUGACCUGUGGAUCGGAGUGAAAGGCUAAUCAAGCUCGGAGAUAGCUGGUUCUCCUCGAAAGCUAUUUAGGUAGCGCCUCAUGUAUCACUGUAGGGGGUAGAGCACUGUUUCGGCUAGGGGGUCAUCCCGACUUACCAAACCGAUGCAAACUCCGAAUACCUACAAGUGCCGAGCAUGGGAGACACACGGCGGGUGCUAACGUCCGUCGUGAAAAGGGAAACAACCCAGACCGUCAGCUAAGGUCCCAAAGUUAUGGUUAAGUGGGAAACGAUGUGGGAAGGCUUAGACAGCUAGGAGGUUGGCUUAGAAGCAGCCACCCUUUAAAGAAAGCGUAAUAGCUCACUAGUCGAGUCGGCCUGCGCGGAAGAUGUAACGGGGCUCAAACCAUACACCGAAGCUACGGGUAUCAUCUUAGGAUGAUGCGGUAGAGGAGCGUUCUGUAAGCCUGUGAAGGUGAGUUGAGAAGCUUGCUGGAGGUAUCAGAAGUGCGAAUGCUGACAUGAGUAACGACAAUGGGUGUGAAAAACACCCACGCCGAAAGACCAAGGUUUCCUGCGCAACGUUAAUCGACGCAGGGUUAGUCGGUCCCUAAGGCGAGGCUGAAAAGCGUAGUCGAUGGAAAACAGGUUAAUAUUCCUGUACUUCUGGUUAUUGCGAUGGAGGGACGGAGAAGGCUAGGCCAGCUUGGCGUUGGUUGUCCAAGUUUAAGGUGGUAGGCUGGAAUCUUAGGUAAAUCCGGGAUUCUAAGGCCGAGAGCUGAUGACGAGUUAUCUUUUAGAUGACGAAGUGGUUGAUGCCAUGCUUCCAAGAAAAGCUUCUAAGCUUCAGGUAACCAGGAACCGUACCCCAAACCGACACAGGUGGUUGGGUAGAGAAUACCAAGGCGCUUGAGAGAACUCGGGUGAAGGAACUAGGCAAAAUGGCACCGUAACUUCGGGAGAAGGUGCGCCGGUGAGGGUGAAGGACUUGCUCCGUAAGCCCAUGCCGGUCGAAGAUACCAGGCCGCUGCGACUGUUUAUUAAAAACACAGCACUCUGCAAACACGAAAGUGGACGUAUAGGGUGUGACGCCUGCCCGGUGCCGGAAGGUUAAUUGAUGGGGUUAGCUAACGCGAAGCUCUUGAUCGAAGCCCCGGUAAACGGCGGCCGUAACUAUAACGGUCCUAAGGUAGCGAAAUUCCUUGUCGGGUAAGUUCCGACCUGCACGAAUGGCGUAACGAUGGCGGCGCUGUCUCCACCCGAGACUCAGUGAAAUUGAAAUCGCUGUGAAGAUGCAGUGUAUCCGCGGCUAGACGGAAAGACCCCGUGAACCUUUACUAUAGCUUUGCACUGGACUUUGAAUUUGCUUGUGUAGGAUAGGUGGGAGGCUUUGAAGCGUGGACGCCAGUUCGCGUGGAGCCAACCUUGAAAUACCACCCUGGCAACUUUGAGGUUCUAACUCAGGUCCGUUAUCCGGAUCGAGGACAGUGUAUGGUGGGUAGUUUGACUGGGGCGGUCUCCUCCUAAAGAGUAACGGAGGAGUACGAAGGUGCGCUCAGACCGGUCGGAAAUCGGUCGUAGAGUAUAAAGGCAAAAGCGCGCUUGACUGCGAGACAGACACGUCGAGCAGGUACGAAAGUAGGUCUUAGUGAUCCGGUGGUUCUGUAUGGAAGGGCCAUCGCUCAACGGAUAAAAGGUACUCCGGGGAUAACAGGCUGAUACCGCCCAAGAGUUCAUAUCGACGGCGGUGUUUGGCACCUCGAUGUCGGCUCAUCACAUCCUGGGGCUGAAGCCGGUCCCAAGGGUAUGGCUGUUCGCCAUUUAAAGUGGUACGCGAGCUGGGUUUAGAACGUCGUGAGACAGUUCGGUCCCUAUCUGCCGUGGACGUUUGAGAUUUGAGAGGGGCUGCUCCUAGUACGAGAGGACCGGAGUGGACGAACCUCUGGUGUUCCGGUUGUCACGCCAGUGGCAUUGCCGGGUAGCUAUGUUCGGGAAAGAUAACCGCUGAAAGCAUCUAAGCGGGAAACUUGCCUCAAGAUGAGAUCUCACUGGAACCUUGAGUUCCCUGAAGGGCCGUCGAAGACUACGACGUUGAUAGGUUGGGUGUGUAAGCGCUGUGAGGCGUUGAGCUAACCAAUACUAAUUGCCCGUGAGGCUUGACCAU
rnacentral:rRNA from 1 species